rnacentral:lncRNA from 1 species
AAGGAAGCAAGAAAAGACCCGAGACACGAGUUUUGCAGAAAGUUUGUACCGGCGGCAGCUCGGGGGUGUCCCGCCCGUCCCCGCUCCGCCGCGCCGGGACCCGGCAGGGCUCGGCCCCGAGCCGGGAGCGGGCCGGGGCCGUGCGCGGAGGGAGCGGCGGAACACAGGGCCAGGAAAUGGAGCUGCAGUAAGUGCUGAAAGGUACAGAUAAACUGUGUGUUCUUUUCACUGGUCUAGGCCAAAAGUGGCUGUGUAAUGAAUGGAGAGAUGUCAGCUCUGGGUAUGGUUUACACAUACAGGGAGGCAGCCUCUUACCACCUCCUGUGCCUGUUCUCAGCCUGCUGUCAAUUGUGGGCUUCUUUAAGAGAACCAAAUGGACAGAGUGAAUGUCACCUCCCUCUCCACUUGCUGAACUCUGCUUAAACACAACACUGUUUUUCUGCCUCAAAAAUAUACAUAAAGGUAUGUAUAGUAUGUUAGCCCCUCCUUAGCCUUUCCCAUCCUGAAACUUUUCAAACAGGGAUGGCAUGUUCCUCUCUUCACUGCCAAAAAAAAAAUAAAUUCCUUUCUCAGUAUUUCCCCCUUCCCCCAUUUCUUCUCAGCUGACAGCUGUGAGAAUGGAACUUUCUUGAUCUAUCCUAUCCAUUUCCCCCAAUUCUGUUUUUAAGGUAGAUUUGGUUUAAAUAUCCAAGCCAUCUUUCACACUACAGGAUUUUUUUAACAUAAAGUGGAUUUGCAAAUGCUUAACGUGGGUAGAGACGUGGCAACUGUUUACAUAUAUUUAUUUUUCUUUUUUAAACAACAUUCCACCUUCUUUCCCCAGAAAUUUAGAAAGUUGAAUGAGAAUGAAAUUGAACAAUACAGCCAUUUAAGAAAUUACAGGAAGAUCAAAGUUUUGUAAUAAAGCAAUUUUUUUGCAAGACUAUUUCCUUAUAAUUCAAACCAUCUUUUUGAUUUUCAUACAAAUUCCCUUCUAACAAAUAAAAAUUUCAUUAAGAAAUAUAGGAAUUGCAUUCAAAAUCUGGAGAGUAAAAUGAAAAUAAUGGUAUUUAAGGUAGUUCUUAAGCUUCACACUUCUCAACAGAAGGCCUGACAGCUGUAGGUAGUUCUUUGUUGGUUGUUUUGCACUUUGAUCGGAGUUUGAGGUUAUCUCUCACUCUGACAUAAACACCUCCCAUAACUCAGCUUUAUGGGAAGGUGUUUUUCCGCCCUCAUUGCCAUUAGCCCGUGCACAAAGGAAUCAGACAGGUACUUGGACUUCAGCUGACUUGACAAGGUAGGUCCCAAAGUAUAAACGUGCAGUUGUCUCUGCAGAAUCUAACAUAAUUUCAUUAUUAAAACAUUCAGGUAAGGGAGAGUUUAGGUAGUUGUUUUUCCUUGGAUUAGCACAGCUGCAUGUCUGUGUCUGGAAAAUCUGGGUUUGACAGUGAUAAAAGAGGAUCGAUGGCUCCAUGAGUUGUGAAAUUCAGGAAUUUGUGAAAUCACAUGAUUCCUGGAAAAUGUGUUCAGGGUGCUUUGAGUCUCCUUGUUGUCCUUUUAUUGAACUUGAUAUGUUAUUAGAGUGACCCACUGGAAUGUGGCACUAAAGAUCCAAAUGAUGGAGACCAUGUAUGAAUAGGCAGUGGUGAAAGUGGUGUUAAUUUUCCUGAGGCCUUAAGGGCACACAGACCUGAAUCAUCAGCUAGCCAAUGUCACUUGUUUUGUAUUUUAUUGGUCUCAUUGACUACAAAGAGAUAAUUUGACUUCAGACAUUUGGAGUUUGCCCAUUCAACAUUAGUCUAUGACAAACUAGCAUGGAAAAAAAAAAGGAAAGCUACUUUUCAGACUGAUUAUCAUAUUCCUUGAUAUCACACUCCAAAACAGCCUCUGCAUUGUGCACUGUUUUCUGAGGAGGGUGUGCUGCAAGCACACAUGUCUCCAUUGCCUGUACUUUUAAAUUGAGAAUUUUUAGAAAAACUUAAUUUUGGAAAUCUUAGUUUUCCUUGUCUUCCCAUACUCUUGCACGCACACCUUCAGCUUCCCUCAUCACUGGAACCCUGAAACCUCCACAGCAGGAAGUGCAUUGGAGCUCUGUGAUGUAGAUUCACCCAGCAGCAUACAACUGUUUUGUAACUCCUCACAGAGGAGAACAUAUUGUUUUCUAGAGACAUGAUGGUUGGCACAUGAACAACACCUAAAAUGCCUGCUGCCAAUUUGUUGUUUGUUACUUGGUUUAUUAAUUAAGUUACACAAAAGCUUUGGAAGAAGGCCAACAGUUGUUGUUUUAUUUUUUGUCCCAUAUUUUGGACUGCCUGGCCAAAGCAGAACAAUUGCUGGUGCAGAGAUACAGAGGAGUCCCCAAAGGUUAGCUCUGUUCUGGGACUAAAUUACAGCAAAGUCUUGCUCCUUCACUGCUGCUGUGAACUUUAGUAGAGAUAUCCUUUUGGGCUAUUAAUUGACUUCUUAAGAACUUCUGUUUACAUCCAAAAUAAUCAAGAGCCAUGCAGUUUUGAACCAAAAGAAAAUUUCUUUAGAGCUCAGACAUACUUGAAAUCGAAAUUUCAGCUUGGCUCAUUUGAUAUUUUCCCCUAUUUCUAUGACAUUUACAUUGCUUUUUCUUGAUUUUUUUUCUUUCUGGUAGAUGUUUUACCUUUAAGUUACACAAAUAAAACAUAGGGUUCCAUGUGGCUUCUUUGUAACUUAAUUAUAUAUGUACUUUUAUAUGUAUAUAGAAUCACUUUCAAUUACAUUUGCAUGCUUAUAUUUUUUUUUCCAAAAGGACUCUGAUAGCAAGAUUCAUUUGCCAGAUACAAUUGGCAUGCCAGAUUUCUAACUGUAGUUACACAUUCUACAACAGAGACACAAAUUUAUGUACAAAUGAUGGGUUUGCCACAUAUAUCUGUUCCUACACAUUUUUUUUUUUUUUUGACCAGAGGAAGAAACUGUUCUGUAGGAAUUUCUGUAGUUAUCAGACUAGGAUUUAGCUUGGUUCAGUAGUGUGUCUGAAGCUGGCCAUGAUCAGCCUCCUCUGAGGAAAGCAGCCUUUGGAUUAUGAAGAAUUAUCCCAUAGGAAAAGUUUCCUCUUAAAAUCACUUUGUGAGCAGAAGUGUGAAAUACUUUCUUCUAAUUUUGGACAUUUCUGUUGCCCAUAUAAAGUUAAAUUUUUCAAAGCCAUUGGAGUUCAGACCUCAACAAUAGUUUGUAGUGAAUGGUUCCACCCGGUCCUGAAGAGCAGAGUUGAGCAUGGAUCAGCCUUGCACGCAUUGCUCUACGGAACCUCAUCUCUUGCGUGGCAAACAAGAGCUGCCAGUCCUUCCCUGCCAUGAGAGGCUUCUGCAUGGACAACUGAUUUUUAUAAUUGAUUUCAGUGGAAGAAAGCACAUUCUUUAGCUUUAGUGGAAAUUGAGGUGUUUGGAGUUCCAAAAGUCAGUAAUGUAUUGAGAGCAAUUAAAAAAAUGAAAACCUUCUGACAUCAAGUCAUGGCUUGGAAUCCAAUUCUUCUUUAAUAUACCCUCAUAUCU